AAUUAAUUUUCAAAUCAACCAUCUGAAUCUCUUAAGAGUAGAAAAACAAAUUAUCCACCAAAAAUGCAAUAUGAAAACAUAAAUCAAACCUGGCUGCACGAUUGAUCCUAAAGAUGUGAACAAAGAAAAUGAUACAAGAUUGACAACAAAAUGAUUUAGAUAUGAAUAUCAAACCAUUGAUUCCUAUUGGUCAAAUUUAACAGGACUAUUCUUAUUCAACAUGUGGUAAUUUUUCACCACUGGUUUUAGAUACUUUCUUCACGACAUGUUCAUUCGUAUAAUUAAUCAGGAUGGAGCCCUCAAGGACCGGUUUAGCUAGCUGUGCAUACAACGAAAUCUAGUGCUGACUUUCUGUGGCUAUAAAAAUUAUUGCACAUCGUAUAGAAUUUGUCGUACCAACUUUACCUAGAAAGCUGGAUAACACAUGAAUCCAUCUAAACCUUUGAGUUCACACUAGAUAAUCACCAGACGCUUUGAAAUAAAUAACUUUUUUUUUUGUAUUUAUGAGUGAAAUGUCUAAGAGAUUGAUUAUGAUAAGGUUUAUACAGUUUUAUUUGACCAAAAGAAGGUUUAUACAGAUUUAUUGAUAAAACAAACAAGGUUAACAAUUACAAGCUAGAAAUGAGGUAUUUGACUGAUUACAAGAUGUUAGAUUUAGUAUAUGGUUCAGAUAUAGUAUUGUAAUUUGUUAUGUACAGUAUACGAUUCCAAGGUAUAUAAUGAUUUAGCA
rnacentral:lncRNA from 1 species